UGGUGCAUUAUACUGCAGUACACCAACCAAUGAGCAGAACCAGGGUUGUUCAAAGGAUUACUUCUCCUACAUAUCAUAUGUAUCAGUGUUUUUUAGACUGUUUUGAUUCACAGUUACACUUAAUGCAACUUCUAUUUUUACAAGCAGAGGCAAAUGUUAAUAACUUUGUUUGGACUGCACAGAAAGAACAGACACUUUGAUGAAUACAUUCACAGAUUCAGCUACUUUAACCGCAUUAAAAAGGGGGAAAAAAUGCACAUUUCAUGCACUUGUUUUUUUUAUGUUUAUACUAUCAUACAUGAUCGCAACUUAAUGCAUCAGAUUGAUAAGCAGCUGAUAAAUUCUAACUGUGUCUUUGCCUUGCCUGUCUGCUCUCUGACAUCUCUUUGUUUUAUCUCUUGUUUUAUCUGGGGAGUAGGUAGGAGGUUAAGUGUACGGUCUAGUACUGCAGGGGCUCGAGUCCAAAGAGGCUUCUGCCUUCCUGUCUACUCUUUAACAUCUCUUUAGAUAUGUGUCACUCUGUCCCUUAUUUUUCUUCUCUAUUAUGGUGCAUGGUUACAGCGAAAGGUGAGAGAUUGUAUCGAGAGGAGUGGCUCUGGGACACCCAAGCUAGCUGUUAAGCCUCCCUCAGGUGUCAUAGGCCUCACUUCAGAGCUUACCUGAUAACCUCUGUGAGGUUUUGGCUCAUGCAGCCCAUGUCUAUUAUUAAAUCUAUUACAAUUAUCCAUGUUCACCAAGAGAGGGAUCAGCUGUAUCUACACACAUUCAUCUGUCCAUUCAAUAUAGAGGUGUAUCACAUAAAAUCAUCUGUUAUGUCUUCUUUGCCAUUUUAUUUAUUUUAUGUUUCAGUGGAAGAUAUUGUUAUUUAACAUUAAUUAUUUAUGCUUUUAUUGUAUAAUGCUCUACAGUCAUAAUAUCACUUAAUUAGGAAGCUUCAAUCCAAAUGUAACACUGUAGAUUUCUCCUCAUGUUUUUGACAGGAUCUCAAGAAUCUCACCUACGACUCACCUGCAGCUGAAAAUGCUCAAGGGACUUUUUCCAGCACUUUGACCCUGAAAGUAGCCAAUGAGAGCUUGAGCUGUCCCACAAAAAUAACCUACUACCCAGACCCUGAGUUUACAAGCUUCACGUCCACAAAGACAGGGGACAGUGUCCACAUCACUAUACAGGUAAUGCAAGAUUUUCCAGCACACAUGCACAAUGAGGAGAUGAAACUUGAAUAUCAGUGAUUUUUUUCUGUUCUCCUUUCAGAAAAAGGCAGACAAACUCAAUAUGAGCCCUGAAGAGUUAUCAGUGUGGGGUAUUCAUGAAGGACAAAAAUACCCCUGCGUAAUGGAAGAGAAAGGAACCAGUGGCAACACCGAGUAUUUCAUCUGUGAGAUUAAAAUUCCAAGCAUCAAAGAUUUUCAAGAAUUGGAGGUAAGUUUUUAGUCGUGCCACUCCAAAUUAAGUGAUGCUUUUGAUAGAUAAAAUAUACAUGUGUCUCUAAAGCUUUUACAGAAACGCAGACUUCCUUUUUGAAAUCCUUUCUGAUACAGUUUGAUUGUUUCUUUGUCCCAGAUAAAGUAUGGAGACAAAACAGAAACCCUUGAAUCUGCAUCAUGGUCUCCUCUCUUCCUGAUACUGCUUGUCUUACUACUGAUCCCAUUAAUUAUUGUUGGUAAGUACCCUUUUAUCGUUAGAAGGCCGAUUUUGGUCUAAAAGCAGCUUUAGAAACACUGACAAAUCUGGAAAAAAAAACCAAAAACGAUUUGCUUGGUAUUUUAUCUCCCAGUUGUGGUGAUCGUUUACCGAAGCAAACAAAAGAAACUCAAUGCAAAGAUGAACAAGAUCAUGGAAAACCUGGAGCUCGACAUCAGGAAUGACAUCAGACAAGGUCAGUCACAAAAACAUUGAUGAUACGCUGAUGAAACAGCAAAGAUCCUUCCUGUCUGAACAGUCCCGUGCAAAACAAAAAGCUUGGGUUAUAGAAAGGUCAAUGACUCUUGUUUCAAUGUUCAUGAUAUUUCCUCUUGCUGUCCCUCUCCUUCUCUGUUGGCCAUGUGUGCACACAGCGCUGUAGGAUCAUGAGGCCUGACCCAAUCUAGCAUAAAAAUCGUAUCAAAAUAAGAGCAUGAAAAAUAAGCAGACCAAAGUUUUACAGUUUUACAGCUUCAUAGUUAGAUUCAUGAGCUAUUUGUUGACAUUGAGGAGGCUUUUGAGUAGAGUGAUCAUAUUCUGAAUCCCCAAAAAGAGGACAUGACUACCCAGGGGUGGAGUCACAGUGUCGCACGAAGUUAAUUUUGAGAGUUUUCCAGGUUGGAACGAGUAUCUUUUACCUGCUUCUAACUCAGUAAAUCCACGAGACACAAACUCGGAACUUCCAUACAAAAUUUUGUAAACUUCCCCGGACAAGGCCGGACAGCCCGCAAAAAAGAGGACAUGUCCGGGUAAAAGAGGACGUAUAGUCACCCUAUUUUUGAGGCGAAAAACACAAGUUUCUAUUCAUGACAUUUCCAUCAACAUCUGCUGUAUAUAGUUUUUCAGCUACUUAUCAGAUGUUAGCAUGCUGUCAUGCUAAGAUGAUUAACGGCAAUGCAGAACUUCACAGAGCUGACAGCAUGGAAAGGGUUAGGUCAUGGAAAGUGUAAACGGCUCAACUUGACAAGUAGCCAACUUCAACAGUCAGCACAGACCAACACAUGCACACAUGCAGUUCCUUUUAAAGAUGUGAAAUACCCCGAGCUUGUUCCUUUUUCUGGUAUCAGACUUGUCAUACAUGUGGUCUAUGCUAAGUAGAAAAAUUAAGUAUGUAUCUGCAAAUACAAAACCUCAUUUCAGAUAAACACCAUGAGGUUUGCUGUUUGUUUUAAAUAAGAUGCAGUCUCCCAUUUUCACUACCUCUUUCUGUUUUUGACCAAAGUUGAAGAUCAUCUUAUAGUUUGAUUCUUAACUGGCUUUAAAAAGGCAAUGUUUCAAAGCCGUAAAUAUCUUUAUCUUUUAAUGAUUAUGAUGCCAGAUGGGUUUUGUGUCACUUAAACACAUACAGAUGAAUAUUCAUUAUAACCAACCCUAACUGUCCUCUGUAGGUUUUGUGGAUCUGCAGACAGAGAAAGCUGACCUGAUGGAGAAUGUUGGAGCCAUUCCUUUCCUGGAUUAUAAGCACUUUGCCUCCAGGAUCUUUUUCCCUGAGGUACGGACAAACCUCCAAGAAAGUAAAUGCUCAUUAUGAUAUUUAAAAAAAAAACACAACAUAAACACAAUCUGUUUUGUUUCUAUUUUUCAGGGUGACACUUUGAUGAAUUUGUGCGUCAAAGACAUCGGUCAGGUAAGGUCUGACUCCAGCUGUUAUCAACAUUCGUGUUGUUUUGUAACCCUUACGGUGACGUGUUGUUGUAUCUGACCUGAAAUCAGGAUGCUGUGAAGGUUCCGCUUGAUGAGCCCUGCAAGGGUUUGUCCAGGCUGAUCCAGAACCAGGUCUUCCUCACGUCAAUGGUGCACGCUCUGGAGGAACAGAAGAGUUUCACCAUCAAGGACAAGUCAGUUUCUGAAGUUUGAUUGUUGUGUCUGAGUGUCAGUGACAAAUCUGUUGUUUCAUCCUGAACCAUUUUGAGGUUUUCUGUACUUCCCUGUCGUUGUUUACAUCCGUUAUUCUAUGAUCCUUUUUGCUCCUAUGUUCUCUGGUCAUAAUUCUGUUUCUUUUCUACUUUUACCUCCUUUUUUUUUCUUUUUUAAUCUCCUCUCUUCCAGGUGUGUUAUGGCAUCACUGCUCACUGUAGCGCUCCACAACAAUUUGCUGUACCUGACAGAAGUGAUGGAGGUACUGCUGAGGGAUCUGAUGCAGCAGCACGGUAACGCCCAGCCCAAACUGCUUUUACGACGCACCGAGUCCACUGUGGAGAAACUCCUGACCAACUGGAUGUCCAUCUGUCUGUACGGCUUCCUCCGGGUUAGAUGAGUUUAUAUCCCUCUUGAUUUCUAAAGAACCACAAAGGAAAACGUCAGCUACCUGAUUUAGCCGCACUAGAAACUUUCAAUGUUGGUCAACGGCCUUUUCAGACGCCAACCAGUUAGAAGCAAGACACUAAGAAUGACUAUUUUCCUACUAAUAGCUUUUAUGGCACAUACAGUAUGAAGGUCAUCAGUGUUAUACAUCAGGUGUAGAGAUUAUGUGUGAGUGCUGAGAGUUAGUACAAAGGAGGGUGAAGAAAGGUGUCCUUAUGAUAACCCCAGUGAUGCGCUGAUUCUCUCUGCCUAUCAAAUCAGGAUCGGUUGGGGGCGUUAGGGGUUGUUGUUAAAAAGCUAUAUAAGCCAGAACACUUAAGACAACAGUGACAUACCUCUAUUUGACUUUUCUGGUUUUCUGUUUUAUCUGGAUGUUGAAGAAAGUUGGUAACAAACAGCAGAGCAGUCUAUACGACGUCAGUGGACUGGAGAUCCAGAGCUUUAUUGUCACCUCUCCUGUUUGUCCGCUUUUCCUUUCGGUGCAUCGAGUCGUCAUCGUCCUCUGUAAACUCAGAUUCACAAAGAUGUCAGAAUCAUUAAUGGUUUGAUUUGGUCGUAUCUUUGUCUUUAGGAAGCCUGCAUGCGAAAGAGCAAGUCUGUGCUGAAUAAAUUGUCUUUCUGAUGGCAAAGUUAAGGGCUGAAAAUUUUCUGGGUGGAGUGUACGAUUAAACUGAAGUAACAGCUCAGAUAAGGGUCUCCCAAAGUUAGUGGCAGUCGUAUACCUAACACCCUGAUAUAAUUGUGGCUUGUACAAUAACAAGUGACAUGUAACUCAGACAGUCCACUUUAGUUUCUCUUUCUGUAUUUUUGUCUAGCCUUUUGGUAAACCACAUGCUGUUUAUUUUUAAUGUCAUGGCUAAUGAGGGAUCGUCUAAAGGAAACAUUGCCAUGGUAACAAACUCCCCACAGCCAUCACACAUUCCGAGAACUUUCUCUUGUCACCUCUAUUAAGUCCUCAGUCGAGUUUCCGUUUAGCUCUCUGCUGUAUUGUGUCACAUGGACACAGACUGAAACCUUUUCUUUGUUUUUACUAAAACCUUUGUUCCAUGUGUUUAAAAAAACAAUUCAGGGCAGUUGUCUUGAAUGAAGCAAAAACAGAACGUUAAGUUCAUAAAACAACUUCCUCGGUGCCACAGAGGGAACAACCCCCUUUUUUGUCUGACUCUGUUCCUGUUUCUGAUUUUGCACAGGAAACUGUUGGCCAGCACCUGUUCCUGAUGGUUAGCGCUCUGACACAGCAGACUGCCAAAGGACCUGUGGACAGUGUGACAGAGAAGGCUCUUUACACGCUCAGCGAGGACUGGCUGCUGUGGCAGGCUCCGGACUUCACUUCCCUGGUACACACACACACACAAACAAAAACACCCAUACUUUACAUCGCAGGCCCUCGCACACAGAAGCAGACUGCAUAUUCAGGGAAAGCUAGAGUCCAAACAGGAGAAAACAUCUAUAUAAACAGGGGAAACUACAUGAAACAACUCAAAGUAUUCAACAUUUCAAAGUAAAAACCUGUCAGCUGUAGAGGUUAUACUAUUAAAAUGAGCUGUGUAUGAGGCAGAUGGGCACUCACUCAAUCAAAGGAUAUAAGCAAGCCAAGAAAUCACAAUAUUACUGAUACGUUGCCCGUGAUCUGAACACAAACUGCAGUCUAAACUGUGACCAAUGCGCUGCACAAAGAAAAGCUAAGCAGCUUGAAGUCAUUUAUUGCUGACCACACCAGAAAGAAAGAGGCAGCUGUGGCUCGGUCCGCAUGCCAAAGUGUCCUUGGGCGAAGCACUUAAGCCCACCUGCCCCCGCUGGCUGUGUCGGGUGGUGUGUGAAUGGUAUUAGUUAAAACACUGAUGGACUCUAUGCAUAGCAGCCUCUGUCAUCAGUGUGUGAAUGGGUGAUUGUGACAUGUGGCGCGAAAGCGCUUUGAGUGGUCAAAAGAGAAGGCGGGGAGUUCAAUUAACAUUUACCAGAAGUAGAGACGUUGUCCUCAUUCCCAGAGACACACACUGUUUUUCUUAAAGGAUAGCUGAUGGGUCCUGAGAUGGGUGUAGUCAUGUAGAUACUAACAAAUAUCUUAAGAUCACAAAUUGAGGAAACCGUCAAUAGAUCCUAGCUCUGUUUUCGAAAAGAGAAAAGUAUACUAAGAUUCCAUUUUAUUUACUUAUUACCUUAAUCUGUAAAUGUCUAAUAUCUCUGUGAAGCACUGAGAUAUUAAUGAUGGAAGUUGUGAGGCAGUUCUUCUAUAUGUGAGCGAUCCAGCGCGGCUAUGAAUUGAUUGGACAACAUCCUCAUUGUGUGUAAGUUGGUUGUCAGCCACAGAGCAUACAGAGACAGCUUGUCAAGGGAACAGCGGUUGGUAUUGAACCACUUCCUCUUCCAUGUAUUUUAAGACCUUUUUAACAUGCAACAGCUCAGCUUUGACGGGCUUGACACAGCUAUGUUUACCACAGAUUACCAAACUGAUUUCCUGGCAAUAGCUCAGAAAAGGUUUCUAAAGCACACUGACAAAACAGGCCGGAUUGUCAAAGACUGCAAGAUAAAGACAGAUCUUGAUGAGGUGAAAUCAAAAAAGGUUUUUUUGACUUUUUUUAUCAACUAGCGGAAGGCUUGUAACAGAAGUAAAAAAUGAAAAAAACACCAUCCUGCUGGCAGGAAGUGGCUGAAUGUCACGCUCAAGACUCAAAAUGAGAGAGGAAGAUUUUUGUUGUGGCAACAAGAUGUGGCUUCAGGUGCAAGAAGGGUACAAGUUGGACCAUAACUGAGCCUUUACAGAUGGGCAUUUUGCUCAACCACAACAGCUCAUUGGCCUUAAGAGGAAAGUAAUUCUCAGUUUCUCACAGGAGAAACUAUGAAAUGCAAUCAGAUUUAUGUACCGAUUCUGAUGAGGAGAAACACCUUCAUCUUAAACAACACUACAACCUGUUUGAGGAACCAGCUACUCGCAGUCAGAGUCUUAAAAAAGCUCUUUACUCAAGGAAGUAAAGCAACACGGCAUUUUCCUGUUAAAAAAACAAAUUAAAGAAAACCACAGAAUGCAGAAACAGGCGGUCUCUAACCACACCUCAAUGCUCAGAGCUGAGUAGAAAUGAAAGAAAAUGAAAGCAUGCAAAUGUUUCCGAAUCAAGUCAGUUUAUGAGGUGCAUGUUAGAGUAUUUCACAAUGACUAAAGUGCUGUACAAUCAAAGUAGGAAAUAAAGUUAAAUAAAAUAUUACUAAGUUACAAAAGCACUAACAUACACUAAAAAAAAUAAAAGCUCAAAAGAAAAAAUAAAUCAGUAGUUGCAACCAUAAACAGAAAAAUAAAAAAGAAUUGAUAGAAAUUUUCCUACAAAGAGUUCUUGAUGUGUAUGAACUUGACUGAAAUUCAUACUGACGCCUUUUAAUGACUAGAAAAGUAAACAAGACUGAAGAUUUUUAUGUUGUAAUUUUUAAGUACCUGAAACCGGUACAAGCAGCUGCAGAAACAGCCCUAUUACUAUAUUUUUUGUAUCAAAUAUUCACAAUAGCUGAUCAAUUUGACCGCCAAAAGUCAGAAAGCACUACCCAAGUAUAUAUUGGUUAACAUGAGCAGUAACGGCUUUGUCCACAGGGGGCGCCAAAGUUGACACAAACUAAAGGAUCCCUACCAGGGCUUUAAUAAUUAAAAUAGGGUGAGCAAAUUUAAUCAGGUUUUUUUAUGAGAAUAGUGAGAAUAAUGUGUUGGUUACAAGUAAACAUUGCAAACCAAUUUUCCGUUUAACUGAACUUGUCACAUGAGCUAUUUGGCUGAUAUGACGUGUAAUGGUUCAUUUUUACCAGGAAAACACACAAAAAAAUUGCUUAAUUUUGAGUUUUUACUGUUUAAAUGUCUACGAACUGUUAACUGUUACAGGAAAUAUGAGCAAGUGGAGAGACAGUUGGUAUGAACAAGGACAGCAGUUAGUUCAGAACAGACCUGCUGGUGAACGUGACCAAAGCCAUGUAAUGAUCUGGGUCAUCACUGCUAUAGAGAGACUCAACCACAGAAUUAUCUAAUCUAACUGGUAUGCCACACCCCCACUGGAUUACCACAUGGGUUGGUUUGUCCAAUCUGUGGUGUGGCGUGGUGUAAUAACAGAAUUUACCAACUGGCACAGGUCGUCUGUACCGGGUGUCAACAUUUGACAGAUUCAAGGAACAAGAAAUGAACGUUUAUUUCAUAGAAAACCUCAAAGUCAUUGUUCCUGUUGUCAUCAACAACCAGGAAGUUGAGGUUGUGCAGCACUAUAAAUAUCAGGCAAAAUGAUUAAGAAAGUGACUGUCAGGUCUCAGGUGACCAGCUGUUUGUUGAGAACCAGUCAGCACAUCCAUUUAAUCAGGGGGCGGCUGUAAUUUAACAGUGAUAGCCGCCUCGGGAUUUAAAAGUGAAAUCAACAGCAGAGCUAAGUGUGUAGAUGUGUACUUUAGACUUUGAUUGUCCAGAAGACUUUUACCUGUUUUUACAGAGACCCCAAACUUCAGCACAAGUUCAUUUUGUUCUAAGUUUUUUGGGCGUGGCUGUGAAGCUGUGAGCAACAAUUACUAAAGUCAAUCAUAUGGGACUGAUGUCAGAGUUUCACUUCAGUAUUAUUAACCAAAAUAUGGGUUAAAGGAACAGUCAGCGGAACUGAUUCAUAGACCAGAUAAUGCAAAACAGGAGGUGAAGUGUUUGAUACAAUAAACCAGAAGAUCUUGACAAAUAUUUUCUCUUAUAGGAAGUUGGAACUUUUUUUUUUCUGCUUGUGUUUCCGUUUUUGUUUUGGGCAGGGCUCAACAGAAAAAGAUUAUGUUCUUCUUGCAACACAUUUUUGUCAUCUUGGUAUAACUUCUAAUAUUCAAGUAUCUGAUGAUAGGAUUUUGUUGUUGUUGUACUUAUUGUACCAAGCUUUUGAGAAUGCUUUUCUCCCAAAAAGAAGAUUCAACCUUCGUUAGUAUCUGAUGAGAUAAACAGUUGGCAGUAGAUUAGCUACAUACCUUUGUGACAUGGCAUAAAAGUUGUUUAUACACAGCCAGACAUUUAUAAACUCUCUCUUUGUGUCAUACCUGAAAACAAUAUCAUACUAAGUCCUUCAAAUUUGUAAUGAAACAAAUAAAAAGGCACAUUUAAAGCACAAAAACUGGAAAUAUUUUCAAGUCGACAUCACUGAUAAAUCUUCUAAACGCUGUACACUCCUCUGAAGUAUCACUUCCUUGCAUCUUUAGCACUCUGUGUUCCUCCGUCUGUGACAUUUCCUUCUGUGAGCAAAGCAACAGAAGCCUGACGUUUAAUCUAAUAUUACAAACCAGUAUCUCACUUAACCUCUCAAUCAGAUCCAUUAGUUAGUGCAGGCAUAAACCACAAAAGGGCAGAAAGGAGACAAGAUGGAUGCUGAUAAUACAUUAUCCAGAGAUCCAGAGAUAGUUGUUCAAAUUGUGUCCCCUAAUUAUGUAAAAACCCCAAAAAUCCACUAAGUUGUUUCUUGAAAAGACGUGUCUCUGUAAAAUCCCAAACUUUUUUGUUACUCUAUUGGAUACAUAAAUCACAAUAUGAUACAUAAAAUAGGAGAAAUGAUAGGAUACAACAGGAUAAUUGUUUUUUCAUGUUGAGCUCAUCAUCAGCAAUUACAAACAACAUUUGUAGGAAACAUUUUCAAGUGCAUCAUUAGCCAUGACAGCUGGCUUGAAGAUCAUAUAGUUUCUUUGUUUAAUUUUGAGAUAAUUCACUAUUAUCAAUCAACACUAUCAAAAACACUAUUACAGAGUUCCUACGCAAGUAUGGAAAGUGUGGAAAAGUAUGACAGUAAUUUGAUCAAUUUCUAGGUCUCAAAAAGUAUGGUAAAUAAAAAGUAAGGUAAGGAAAAAUAUUCAUGUUAACAGACUGUAUUACCACAGUUAUAAAAAACAGUUUUCUAACAUAGCAAAUUAGGUAUUUCCAAAAAAUAAUUCUAAAAAGUAGGGAAUGGAAAAGUAUGGAAAUUCCAACUGUGUAGGAACCCUGGUUAAAGCAGGCUAUCAGCUUGUGUUCAUAUUAAUCUGUAAUAAAAAUAUUUGUAUUUUUGGCAUAAAGAAGGAGCUUACUUUAAUGUUACUUGCUAGUCAUUAUUUACUAAGAAUUUAAAAGGAUCUAGUAACAAGCCCUGUGGAACACCUGUGUGUUUUUGCAAUAGAUUUCCCAGUUGGUAAACUGCUAUCAAAAAUCAGAUUAGUUGACAAAUACAACACAGCAUGAUUAUUUAACCGAGCUAUACACAAGAUCACAGGGUCUGCGAGUCAAAAAUGUCAUAUUGGUUAGUGAGUGUUGCUAAUGUUGGAAAUGCUAGCAUCACAAGCCUUCAGUUUACCCUGACCAGAUGCUUGUGCUGGUUUGGUGGUUUUGUGUCAGUUUAAUCUGACACUGCCUAAAAUUAUUACUAAACAAUGCACUGUAAAAUCCUGUGUGUCCAUUGUGUUGGGUCCAUAUCUGGGUUUUAAGGUGCUAAAGCAGUAUGGGGGGUAGCUGUUAGCUAUAGUAACAGCUCUGCUUAGUGGAGGGCGACCAAGUUACAGCCAACUACUGAAUGGGACACACUUCGUUAUUCUGUUGACUUAACGCAAACAUCCCCAGAAAUAAGGAAAAACAGUGACGUGUUGGUGUUGUUGAUGUUUGUGUAUGUUGUUCUGCAGAAGCUAAAAGUGCUGUUCGCAGUGGGCAGCGAUGGGGAGGUCAGCGAGCCUCUGGAGGUCAGCGCGCUCAGCUGUGACUCAGUAGAACAAGUCAAAGAGAAAAUCCUGUCCACCUUCAAGGCCAAGUUUGGGUUCCCCUACAACACUCUGCUCAGGGAUGUUUGUAUCGGUGAGGAUCAUCUGCCUGUUGUUGUUGUUGUCCCUCGUGGUUGUGCUGACAGUAUUUUGGUUGUGUUGUCUUCUUCCACUGUGGUCUUCUCUCUUAUGCUGUCUGUGUAUGGCUGUGUUGUCAGUAUACAAGUUUGGUUUCUGUAUCUGCAUUUAGCAUCUGUGGUUGGUUGUGUUUGCAGCAUUUGUGUUGCUCGGUUGUGUCAAGUGUUUCGUCUUGUCAGCCUGCUUGUUCUGUCCUUAUUUGAUUAUGUUGUCCGUGUGGUUGUUUUGUCUGAAUUGAAUAUCAGUGUGUUAUUGUAUUUCAUCAUUUUAUUGGAUUUAGCUACAUCAUCUGUGAUUGGUUUCCUUUUUAUUUUGCGUGUGUGUAUUUGGCACUUUUUUCCUGUGAGUGUUCUGUCUGCAUCGAGUUGGGUUGUCUGGUUUGGUUAUGCUUCCUGUGUUCGGUUGUGUUGUCCAAACUGGUUCUGUGUUGUCUGUAUGACUUGUAUUGGUUGUGCUGUACUAAAUUGGGUUUUCUGUGUUGGUUAUGUUGUCUGUGUAGAAGUUUGUGGUUCCCAGAGUGAGUGGAUACGCCUCCCCUGGGGGUUGUGGAGACACAUCAGGCAGGGGUAACAUAUAAUGGGGAACUAUUGACUUGUAACUAGCGAUGGGGAUCGUUCAUUUUUAUCGAUACUGAUGCUAAAGAUCUCCAUUCUUAUCGAUACUACUAUAGAGGUUUCUUUCAAACUUUUGUAUUUAUGGCGAUUUCUCACAAAAAUGUUCUUUUUCUUUUUCUGGACGUGACAUUUGAACAAAUCAUGUUUACAUUUAAACUUUUGCCGACCCAACCCUGAACACCUCACAAUAUAGUCAUCUGUCACCUCAAUUAGUUAGCUAGUUAGCUUUUGUCCUGCUGAUUUUAACACUGGAUUGGGAUUUCUAACCAACGGCACUUGCUCUAAAAUCUGUCUGCGCUGAUGUGUUCAGUCAUGGAGGUUUUAUUCUCCUUGUAUUUUGCAUAAUAAAUAGCAUUUUGCUUCAUCCCUAUCAUCAGCAAGCCAAACAGUGAGAAACAUUACACCAAGGUCACACCAGUGAGCUGCUAGAGUUUGUUUACACUCACUGCUUCAUACUAAUUUCUCAUAAAGUGGCCAUAUUCAUAAAACCUCCUGGUCUUAAGAGUAACUCCUCGUGGCAAAUUUGGAUAUUUUUUGCAAGUUGAGUCCAAAACUUUUUAAAAAUGAAUAAUUACUCAGAAAGUAGUUUAGCUCUUAGUCAAGCUCCAGGUGUGAAAAGUGUAAGUGGGAGUAAGGAGGACUUCUAAGAGGCUGCAGUGUCUCAAGCUCGCGACGUUGCACCGACAUCUACAAGCCGAGGCACGAUCACCAAAGUGUAGAGGUGUCAAGAGGGUGUGUAUGUGUUUGACAGCAACAGGCUGCACAUAAGGUUCAUAUUUUGGUAACAUUAACUUGACACCUAUCUCUAUAACGCAUUAUUAAUAUAUGUAUAAUGCAUUACAAUCACGUUAUAGCACUGUAUAACUAUAGUUAUAAACACUCAUAAAUGAUCAUAAUGCAUCAUAAUACAUUAUAAAGCAUUAUUUCAUGACUUACAAGGUCAGGUAGUAUAAUGUGUUAUAACUGUUAACAACUCACUGACAAUGCCUACAUGGAUAAUACAUUAUACAUAUAUUAAUGAUGUGCUAUAAUUUGCUUAUAAACUUGUAUAACUAUCAUUAAAAACACUCACUAAUUAUCAUAAGGCUUUAUAACAAUAAGCAUAACACAUCAUAAUACCUGACCUUGUAAAUCAUGAUAAAAUGCUUUAUAAUGUGUUAUGAUUACUGCUAUAAAGCAUUAUGAUCAAUUAUGAGUGUUUAUAACUAUAUUUAUAUAGUGCUAUAAUGUGAUUAUAACGCAUUGUACAAAUUGUUAACCGUAUUUUUUAUCCUCAAAAAGGGGGUACGAUGGGAGGAAAAGUUUGGGAACCACUGCUGUUCUGUUUGUUGUGUUGUUUGUAUUUAGCUCUGUUAUCCGUGCUGUUUGUAUCGUGUUUGUUGUUUGUCCACUUUUUUCUCCUUUCAUCACGCUCUUUACCGCGCCUUACUCUCUUUUUUUCCCACCAGAGUUUGAGAAGGACGGAUCAUUUGUUCCCCUUGAGGAAGUGGAUUCAAGCUCAGAGGUUAUCGGGCAAGUGAUGAUGCUCAACACCCUCAAGCAUUACAAGGUUAGCAAACCGAGCUGAUAGAGAAGGCUGUGUUUGUGGUGAUGAGUUGACAGCUACUUACUCAAAUACUCUCAUGUGAAAACUCGAAAAGCUGUCUGUGGCGUGACAGCCACCUGUCCUCUGAAAUAAUGAUACUGCUGAGGUGAAACCAACAGAGACGCUUGUAUCAAACCAACAACACGUGGACAGGACUCCCUCUUGUUUUCAGUUUUGUUGUUGCUGUCUCCACCCAAGGACAAAAAACUGUUAAAAACUACUUUUUGAAAACAUGACACGAAUUAGCAAACAAGCUGGCACCAACUCCUGCAAGUAAAACUGAUUGCAAGAAUUUUUGUACACUUCUUCAAAUGAGAUAUUAUCAAUAACUGUGAAAUCACCCACCAUCUUAUUUUGACGCACCAUUUCCUGCAGGCAACAGCAGACUUAAAUUUAGAGCAUUUAGGCACGUGUCAUUGACAGCGGAUGCAAAGUUUUAUUAAUCUGCAUGAGAGUGAAAAUGAUUGUUUGGAAAUGUCAUAAAUUGGAGGGUUUAUAGGUGUGUCUUACUUUCAUGAGAGUCAAGAAAAGAGUAAAAGAGAUUCAAGGACAUGAUGUGUGUGAUAAACAAUGAAAUGUCAUUUUUCUUCAUGCGUUGUUUUUUAUUAAUACAUUUUUUUAGGUCCUUGAUGGAGCGACGAUCAAGGUGCUGUCAAAGAAAUUUCAUCCUCCUCUGAGCCCACAGGGAAGUGUGAAGGGUGAGAGCCAAGUUUAUUUACACAUGUACCUUUUAGCUCCAACAAAAAGUAUCAGAUGAGAAGAUCAACACCACUGGCAUGUUUGUGCAUUUGAGAGAGCAACAGAGUCAGAAGGGCGUUGGCAAGUGGCAGUAUGUCCGUUAGCACUCCUCCAAACUUUAAUGCACAUUUUGAAUCAUAUUUUGUUGUAUUCCUUUAUGAAAAUAGUUGGUUUUUACUGGAGUUCAUCAAUCCUUUAAGUUAUCUUAGCUUACUAGCUUCGAGUAAGAAUUAUGUACCUGUAAUGGGCCUCAGCAGCUUGUCCACAGAUUUUAAAACAGACUGAAAAUUGGGGUUUGCUUUUUUUUCCUUUGUUUUAAUCAAUCUGGGAGAAUAAACCCCAAUUUAUGAUACUCUGAGUUUUUUUCAGAGCUUUCAACCACUUUUAUUUUAGCCAACAAAACCGACUAGAAUUGUUUACAGAUUUUCGAAACUAGUAAUGAGAUUAGACGGAUGACUCAGAGAGCUGUAAGAUGUGGCUGAGAGUACAGGAAUCAGUGGUGAGGUGUAUGAUGUCUCAUGUGGUGACAUUUUCAUUAUUUGAAAACAAUAAAAAUUGAAAUUAAAAGAUUUGAUUUGAUCCUGACUCAACAUCUCUCACUAAUAUGAUGAGUUACUUGCUUGGAACGUGUGCCAAUGACUGUUCAAAUGGUCUCAUGCCGUUAAUUAUGUACUUUUGUAAAAUAAAUAGAUUUAUUUAGUUUCAUAGGUCUCUAGUUUUGCCUUGUGAACUUAUACAUAUUGGAAUAAAUAUACAUAUGUAUUCCAGGCUGCAUCUGCCUUUAAUUGUUACUUACCAAACCAACAUGCUUCAUGACAGGUGAAAGCUUUUCAACUCCAUGACGGUGACUGUUUUUCUCUUUUUCUCCCUGCAGACGAUGAAAACUUCUCUGUGAAAUACUUCCACCUGGUAAGAGACAAAUUGAGAUUUAGAUUUGCAUCGAUUUAAUGAUUAAAAGCUCAAACAGAAAUUGGUGACAGGGCUUUUGGGUAGUCUGCGCCCUUAGUCUGGAAGUCAAAAUGAAAGACGUCGAAGAUUUUUCAGGAUGGUGUUUUCUGGUCUUUGCCAGAUCUGCCCUGAAAAGGUUAUUUUUAAUCUCAAUUAGACCAACCUGGUUAAAUUAAUCAUUUAUUUGUAUUUUCUUUUCAUUUUUAGAUUGAUCCUGAUGUAGAAGAGGACGAGAACAAGAGCCCAGAGAGGAAGAAGUUAAAACUAAAGGAAGUGCACCUCACCAAGCUGCUCUCCACUAAGGCAAGAGGAAGCAGUCACAGUCAUUUCACCCAGAAGUGCACCAACACUAACAGAGGCUCUCUUUAGUGUUUAUUUCGACUGUGUGCAGCAGCUUUUGUUGCAUUUCUAGUGUAUUUUGUUUUGCUUUAGACUGAGCAGAUUUUAAAACUUUUAACCCCCUGUAUACACGAUAAGUUUGAACUUCACUAACAUGAUGUUUUUUAGUUUGCUACACCCAUUUUUUUUCCCCAUGUACUGCACUUUAGACCCUUUAUCCGAGGCUGUUAGUACAUUUGGCGCCACCUUGUGGUAUUAACACCACCGUACACUCACCGGUAUCAAAAUAAAUGGCAGCUAUUUCAGCCAAAUCCUUUGAAAGCUUUUUCCCAGAUAAAGAUUAACUUUUAAAAAUACAGCGAGGGCUACGACAGCAGCCAUCAAACAUGGUCUAAUCUCAUCCUUUCUCUUGAAGGUGGCCGUUCAUUCAUAUGUGGAGAACCUGUUCAGAUCUAUCUGGGGGAUGCCGCACUGUCGAGCCCCACAUGCUGUCAAAUAUUUCUUUGACUUCCUGGACACUCAGGCAGAGAACUUGAAGAUCACAGACCCUGAUGUGCUGCACAUCUGGAAGACCAACAGGUACUGCUGAGUCAUCAGAACCACAUCUGUUAAUAGGAAGAGGAAUAAAAAUCCUAACAUGUGUUUUCUUACCUUGUCCUUUUACAGUUUGCCUCUGCGCUUCUGGAUCAACAUCCUCAAAAACCCUCAGUUUGUUUUCGACAUGGAGAAGACCCCGCAUCUGGACGGCUGCCUGUCAGUCAUCGCUCAGGCCUUCAUGGACUCUUUCUCUCUGAGUGAACUCCAGCUGGGGAAGGUCGGAGCACAACAAAUGUCUCAAAGCAAAAACAAGAGCUCCCAUAUUGGGUUUAUAAAUUUAAAUCACAAUAAAAAGAAAGAAAAGUUAACACCAACAUCUCUGAUUUUGAUGUCCUCUAGCAUGCUCCCACCAACAAACUCCUCUACGCCAAAGACAUCCCCAAGUUCAAACAGGAAGUAAAGGUGUACUACAAGCAGAUCAGAGAUCAGCCACCAAUCACUGACCCAGGAUUUAAGGACUUCCUGCAGGAGGAGUCAAAGGUACAGAUCAUUUCAACCCAAAGUACUCAAAAUGAAAUAGUCACUGUUAUAUAAAAGAUAGAUUUGAGUUUUUUUUUUCAUUUCAGAAACAUGAAAACGAGUUCAAUGAAGCUGCAGCACUGAGGGAGCUCUUCAAAUUUGUCCUGAGAUACUUCACAGAGGUCAGUUUUUCGAGAAGGGGGAAAUAUGGCGGGGAUUGUAUGUUUCAAGCUUCUCCACCUGUCUAGCUACUAAACAUGAUCACAUGAUGACACAGUCAGAAGUGACUUCACUUGUGAAACUAGUGUUCGUGCUUGUGUGUGUGUGUGUAGGGGAAAUGACUGUCAGGGCUUUAAGAUUUCGCUUUGCUUCAUCUGGGCUGUUGUUUCCUGUUUAAGUGCACUGACUGACCCUAUUUCUGAACAUGCCACCGCAAAAGCAACCGUCAUGAGCAGUUCAGAGAGACUUGGAGUUUUCAGUUUUUAAAAGCAGUUGUCAAUUUCCUUUAAGAGAAAUUUUCAAACCUAAAAUUAAACAGAAUCAGGGCCCAAAAUAUGGAAACCGUUCUGGAUGUUUACUUUGGUCAGAGGUACAAAAAAGUAGGGGUGGGAAUCACUAGUGGUCCCAAGGCACUAGUGGUUUCCCCGCUCGCUUCUCUAGUUAUACCAACUUUAUUAACGACUGCACGGUAGCAAAAUACAGAGGUCUACCUCUCCAUGUGCAAACCUCAACCAAAACUCCACUCUAUAGCCACAAAUGAUGCUCAGAACAGCACCUAACUUCAUCAACAGAUGCAUGAUUUCUUUAGCAAAGAGACUAAACACAACUCACCUACUCUCUUCCAGCAGCCACUAUUUUGUAGGGAGACAGUCCAUUACCGACUGCAGUGGGGUGACGCAGCUCAAGGAAGAACAUUUAUGAUCACUACUUCAUGGAAAUGCAAUCAGACCGAAACGUUUAGGCAGGAGAGCUACCACGUCUGCAGUGCAAAACGUUUAAUAUGAUGAUUAUUACUUCAUGGAAAUGAUUAAGUAAAGUAAAGCUGUGUAUUGCUAUCCUGCGGUCGUUACUAAAGUUGGUAUAACUAGAGAAGCAAGCGGUCAGCAACUUUCAUCUCUCGACGGAGUGUCUAACUCAGUGUUACGGUUUGUUUGACCCUAACUUAAUUUUACGCCAGAAUAUCCCUUUGACGUUUUUAAAAAUAACCGGGUAUGUAUAAACAGGGUCUGAAACUUCCAGGGCUCUGGUUUAGCUCCACAGAGCAAGUGCUACAUGUACAGAAGCUAAUCCCCAUCACAUGAGCAGCAAGAUUGAUGACAGGCCCCAACAUUUUUUGAUGCAUGUCACCUCCCACUGCUUACUCUCACUUCCUGACUUUCUUCACCUAAUUUUCACUCUCCAUCAAAGGUACACCCCAAAUAAACCCUCAUCCGGGUAGAAUUUUGAUUAUAUUCUACGUAAAGAAAGCGAUUUGUGUUCAAACUGCUUAUCCGAAUAUCCAUCUUCCUGCAGAUUAAAGAGAAGUUGGACCAAAACGGAGCCCCUGCUGAGCUGAAAGAGCAGCUACAUGAAGUUAAAAACUCAUUUGGUGGAGUAAAAAGCUGCUCCUGGAACUGAGCAGAUGCAUGAACUAUGUAAGACACAGAGGGAGGAAAACUGUUACCGUAGAGCCAUCGGGAGAGGACUGAGGAGACUUCUGCACAGCUUGCAACACGUCCUGCAGAAGUGGAAAUGAAGGAACUAAAGAUGAGCAGCGAACCAUGUCGGGAACUGUGUGUCUUCAAAACUCUGGGUUUUCUGCUCGAACAUGACAAAAGUCUUCUGCAGUUCUUGGCAUUAAAACGGUCAUCCUUGAGAGGCACAUUUCAACUGAACUGAAGGGAUGAAUGUCUGGUUUCUGUUCUGUAGCUUCACUGUGGAAAAAAAACUCAGAAUCCCAAACAGAGACCAACCACGGAGAAAAGAUUUAUCUGUACAUUAUUUUUUUCAAAACAAUUCAAAUACAACAAGUUUGAAUCAACCAUGUGCAAUUUGUAUCGACUCAUAUGUAUUUUUUUCCCUGAGUGCUUGGAGGGAAAAUCUGUAAACAAACAUGUCAAUACAAAAAUCAAACCCUGAGGGACUUUUUAAAAAA
rnacentral:lncRNA from 1 species